rnacentral:rRNA from 1 species
AAUCAUGCGCAAUGGGCGAAAGCCUGACGCAGCCAUGCCGCGUGAAUGAUGAACGUCCCAGGAGUUUAAAAUUCUUUCACCGGGGACGGUAAUGCCGGCUCCCGGUGAAGAAGCCCAGGCUAACUUCGUUCCAGCAGCCGCGGUAAUACGAAGGGGGCUAGCGUUGCUCGGAAUUCCUGCGCGUAAAGGGCGCGUAGGCGGAUCGUUAAGUCAGAGGUGAAAUCCCGGGGCUCAACCUCGGAAUUGCCCUUGAUACUGGCGAUCUUGAGUAUGAGAGAGGUAUGUGGAACUCCGAGUGUAGAGGUGAAAUUCGUAGAUAUUCGGAAGAACACCAGUGGCGAAGGCGACAUACUGGCUCAUUACUGACGCUGAGGCGCGAAAGCGUGGGGAGCAAACA